rnacentral:rRNA from 1 species
GAUGAACGCUGGCGGCGUGCCUAAUACAUGCAAGUCGAGCGAACAGACGAGGAGCUUGCUCCUCUGACGUUAGCGGCGGACGGGUGAGUAACACGUGGAUAACCUACCUAUCAGACUGGGAUAACUUCGGGAAACCGGAGCUAAUACCGGAGAAUAUAUUGAACCGCAGGGUGCAAUAGUGAAAGACGGUUUUGCUGUCACUUAUAGAUGGAUCCGCGCCGCAUUAGCUAGUUGGUAAGGUAACGGCUUACCAAGGGAACGAUGCGUAGCCGACGGGAGAGGGUGGUCGCCCGCACUGGAGCGUGGACACGGUCCAGGGUCCUGAGGGAGGCAGCAGUAGGGAACCUUCCGCAGUGGGGGAGAGCCUGACGGAGCGACGCCGCGUGAGUGAUGGAGGUCUUCGGAUCGUAAUGCUCUGUUAUUAGGGAAGAACAAAUGUGUAAGUAACUGUGCACGUCUUGACGGUACCUAGUAAGAAAGCACCGGCUAACUACGUG